AUGAAUAUCUUUAGGAAGUUUGCCACUAAGAACUCCAAGGGUGUUAUUGGGGAGUCUUCUGACAGUGAUCUCCAUCCUUGGAGGUUGGCGGAGGUACGGCCGUGCGAAUGGCCGCACACUCAGUUCAUGGAAGAGGCUAGAAUCCUUCAGGGGUUCACACAAUAUGCUGCUAAUGCCGGCGUCACCGACUUCAUCGUAGCUGAAUGCGAACAGUAUCAUCUCCUCACAAACAUCUUUGUUCAAUGUUUUACUUUCCUUCCUAGGAAUAAUCCACCUGAAGUGCGGUUUGAUUUAUAUGCUGAAACCCAUCAAAUAUCGCUUACGGAAUUUUGUAACAUAUGCAUGAUCCCUUCUGAUGGGAGCUUAGCCGAGCCUAGGACGACGGAGUUUGAGGCCUUUUAUCGUACCUUGACGGUGGGAGAUGAGAGAGGGGUGUGGGCCGUCACUGCCACUAGCAUACACUUUCCUGCCGUGCAUUAUUUUAGUUUAUUUAUCGCUAACCAUUUGCUUGCUAGGGAAAAAGUGGGUGCGCUCAGUGCACCAUACUUUGCUGUUUUAUGUCAUGCACUAGAGGGCGACGACACUUAUAGCUUGGGAGCUAUUGUGGCACGUCGCCUCCACGUUAAUAAGUCCAAGGGUAAGAUACAUGGUGGGAGUUUCGCUACUCGUUUGGCGGCUCACUUCAAGGUUGAGAUACGCCUUCAUGAUCACCCUCUGACCAAGGUUUACCUAGACUGUGCAGCCAUGGAUCACCAUCAUUUCACUGAUAUUGAAUCUCCUAACAUCCCCGUUGCAUAUAACCUGGUUUUUAGUGUGAAGACUCGUGAUAUUAUUCCAUUGCCUGCUCCUGCUUUGUUUGAUUCUGUUGCCAGUGGCAGAUAUAGGAUUAUGCCUGUGGACAUCAUCGCCUACCGGAAUGAUCAGGCUGCUGCAGAGGCAGCGGAGGAGCCUCAGCAGUGGGAUGAGUGGAUGCCCGCUCCUCAGUACCCCAACUACUAUCCAGGCUACUGA
rnacentral:rRNA from 1 species